rnacentral:rRNA from 1 species
GAUGAACGCUGGCGGCGUGCCUAAUACAUGCAAGUCGAGCGAACAGACGAGGAGCUUGCUCCUCUGACGUUAGCGGCGGACGGGUGAGUAACACGUGGAUAACCUACCUCUAAUACUGGGAUAACUUCGUGAAACCGGAGCUAAUACCGGAUAAUAUAUUGAACCGCAUGGUUCAAUAGUGAAUGACGGUUUUGCUGUCACUUAUAGAUGAUUCCGCGCCGCAUUAGCUAGUUGGUAAGGUAACGGCUUACCAAGGCAACGAUGCGUAGCCGACCUGAGAGGAUGAUCGGCCACACUGGAACUGAGACACGGUCCAGACUCCUACGGGAGGCAGCAGUAGGGAAUCUUCCGCAAUGGGCGAAAGCCUGACGGAGCAACGCCGCGUGAGUGAUGAAGGUCUUCGGAUCGUAAAGCUCUGUUAUUAGGGAAGAACAAAUGUGUAAGUAACUAUGCACGUCUUGACGGUACCUAAUCAGAAAGCCACGGCUAACUACGUG